UCUUCAUGUCACGUACUCUCUCACCGGUCAGAGAGACGAGAGAGCCGUGUAAAAUGAAGAGA
rnacentral:pre_miRNA from 1 species